AGAAAAAUUUAUAUUUUACUCUUACUUAUUUACUUUCUUAGACAUUUUGUGGGUUUUCAUAUAUUUUUGUUUUUCCUUUUGAUUUAACUUGUGUUUCUCUCUCAGUAUGUAUGUUUGUCACCUGAAAUGCAACGAAGACAUCACACAGUAAAACAAAGAGCCUUUGAAGUCUUUAGUGUGGGCAAUUUACUCAGGAAAGAUCAGAGGGGUUAUCCAUAAAUAAAGACCUUUGACCUCACGGGUGUGAAGAUAAUAAAAGCCCAGGGGGUUAGGAGGACCAUUGUGUUUUCUGAAAGAGUUAGUUUUGGUUUACGGGGUUAAGUGGAAAUUUACAGAGAAGGAGCCCUGUAAGGAGUGGGGGUGAUAACAGUAUAAUAAGGCUGUCUGUUUUCAGUGUGAUUCAGGUCUGUUGUGUUUCAGGGUAGCUGCUGAAACAGUGAAUGCACCUCUUUAAGGAAAAUAAACUUCUUUCCUUAAAUAUAAUUUGAUUCCUUGUCUCUUACACUGAGAUGCUAUUUGUUUGUAAUUGUUUUUGCCACAACAAUUUGGUGUCAGAAGAGUGGGAUCUCACAGUGGUUUCUUCUGGUCCUGAGCGGAUUUGACGAAGUGAUCAUCUCAGAGCACCAGGCUCUGGUCUUACCUCGAAAAUUGAGAGAGAAGAGCCAAAACUGCUUUCAGGGCCAGAGUGACUCAGAUGAGAUCAGAAAGAACCCGGUGGCAGUAAAAGCAUCUCAGGUAAGAGACUGUAAAUUGUUUAUUUUGAGUGGUGUAAUUCGACAUGACUGUGUGUGAACCAUAGUGGCUGACCAUCGCUUUGGUGCAAGCAAAGAAGGUUUUCAAGAGGCAAAUUGUAACAUGGGGCAGAGGUUUUCAAGAGGCAAAUUUUAUGCCGAAAACUAGAAGCUUUAAUUCAAUUUUAUGCCGAAAACUAGUUUGUAGGUGGACGGAAGAGCCACAGCGAGCAGAGAACGUUUUCAAGAGGCAAAUUGUAACAAUGGUGCAGAGGUUUUCAAGAGGCAAAUUGUCAAUUUUAUGCCGAAAACUAGAAGCUUUAAUUCAAUUUUAUGCCGAAAACUAGCUUGUACCAUAGUGGCUGACCAUCGCUUUGGUGCGAGCAGAGAAGGUUUUCAAGAGGCAAAAUUGUAACACGGGCAGAGAAGGUUUUCAAGAGGCAAAUUGUAAAUUUUAUGCCGAAAACUAGAAGCUUUAAUCAAUUUUAUGCCGAAAACUAGCUUGUAGGUGGACGGAAGAGCCACAGCUGAUUAGGUGAACUAGAAUCAUUCAAUCGAGUGAAGAUUUUGAGUAAGCUUAAUUUACAGAGCAUUUUUGCUAACCUUGCCGAUUUGAGGUGACAAAAUCGGAUCUGUUGAAGACGUUUAACAGAUUAUAGACGUGCGUCGAAGGAAAUCCAGAAGAGAUUGAAGUCAGCCAACAUGGGAUCACCAAACAUUGUGUGCAGGUGAAAGCUGCCCAGAGGAAGGUUGCUGAGAUGUUUCUGCCAAAGAUCAGGCCCGGGGAUUACGUGGUAAUUCGUGACCUGAGGAGGAAGAACUGGAGGGCGAAACGGUGGCGAGGGCCAUUCCAAGUUUUGCCGAGAACACACACGGCGGUGAAGGUCUGAGGGAGAGAGCUUUGUGUGUGCACACCAGCCACUGCAGGAGAGUUCGCCCAUAUCAGAAGGGCAACAGGAGGAGGAGCCUCAGCAAUAACAACAACAAGUUCAACAAUAAGCCUCAAGAUUGAGCCCAAACACCAAGUGCAAGAGCAAGGUCACUCAAGAGGAGUGAUAAGGCCGGUGAGCAGAGUAAAGCCAUCUGUGCAGCCACAACCAGAGACAUUGCAAAGAGCUGCAAUCACUAGACAAGAUAGAUCGCUCAAGACCGUGGUACCCAUUCAGACUGCCAGGAAUGUGUGGACUUUGUAAGACUACAUUCAAUUUGACUUUGCAACAUAAUUGAACCCAUGAGAGAGGCUGUAAGAGAACCCGAGCGGACUGACAACCUGUGGGCCGGGUGGGUUUAUGUCUUUGUGGGGAGGAUGGAUGUACUGGAUAAUUCAAACUGUUCUGCCAAUUGUAGUGAUAGGAAUUCUGAUCAUGUUUUGCUUGCAAUGAAUUAUGAGAUGUAUUUCCAGCUUAGUACAGAGUUAAGUCAGGGCUGGGACGCCCAUACAAGCAGUAAAACUGACCACUUAUCCAACAGAUAGUGAACACAAAUGUGAUGAUUAUGAGAGUGACGAGAGUGAUGACAUUUACACAGAAAUGUGAAGAUUGAUCAGGUAUACGAAAGUCAGACUUGAGGAGUAUAACUGUGAUGAAAUGACUUGAAACAAUUAUAAUAAUUUACGUUUUCGAUAUUAUAGUCAUGUAUGAGUUUGCACAGAAUUAAAAACAAGCGAGUUUUUAAGUUAUUAUAAUCAAAACUAAUGUUAAAUAAUCCAAAUCGUUUAUCAGAGAAUGAUAAAGAGGAGGAAUUGUUGUAGAAAAAUUUAUAUUUUACUCUUACUUAUUUACUUUCUUAGACAUUUUGUGGGUUUUCAUAUAUUUUUGUUUUUCCUUUUGAUUUAACUUGUGUUUCUCUCUCAGUAUGUAUGUUUGUCACCUGAAAUGCAACGAAGACAUCACACAGUAAAACAAAGAGCCUUUGAAGUCUUUAGUGUGGGCAAUUUACUCAGGAAAGAUCAGAGGGGUUAUCCAUAAAUAAAGACCUUUGACCUCACGGGUGUGAAGAUAAUAAAAGCCCAGGGGGUUAGGAGGACCAUUGUGUUUUCUGAAAGAGUUAGUUUUGGUUUACGGGGUUAAGUGGAAAUUUACAGAGAAGGAGCCCUGUAAGGAGUGGGGGUGAUAACAGUAUAAUAAGGCUGUCUGUUUUCAGUGUGAUUCAGGU